AUUGAACGCUGGCGGCAGGCCUAACACAUGCAAGUCGAGCGGAUGAAGGGAGCUUGCUCCUGGAUUCAGCGGCGGACGGGUGAGUAAUGCCUAGGAAUCUGCCUGGUAGUGGGGGAUAACGUCCGGAAACGGGCGCUAAUACCGCAUACGUCCUGAGGGAGAAAGUGGGGGAUCUUCGGACCUCACGCUAUCAGAUGAGCCUAGGUCGGAUUAGCUAGUUGGUGGGGUAAAGGCCUACCAAGGCGACGAUCCGUAACUGAUCUGAGAGGAUGAUCAGUCACACUGGAACUGAGACACGGUCCAGACUCCUACGGGAGGCAGCAGUGGGGAAUAUUGGACGAUGGGCGAAAGCCUGAUCCAGCCAUGCCGCGUGUGUGAAGAAGGUCUUCGGAUUGUAAAGCACUUUAAGUUGGGAGGAAGGGCAGUAAGUUAAUACCUUGCUGUUUUGACGUUACCAACAGAAUAAGCACCGGCUAACUUCGUG
rnacentral:rRNA from 1 species